rnacentral:rRNA from 1 species
UACGGGGGGGCAAGCGUUGUUCGGAAUUACUGGGCGUAAAGGGCUCGUAGGCGGCCAACUAAGUCGGAUGUGAAAUCCCCAGGCUUAACCUGGGAACUGCAUCCGAUACUGGAUGGCUUGAAUUCGGGAGAGGGAUGCAGAAUUCCAGGUGUAGCGGUGAAAUGCGUAGAUAUCUGGAGGAAUACCGGUGGCGAAGGCGGCAUCCUGGACCGAGAUUGACGCUGAUGAGCGAAAGCUAGGGGAGCAAACGGGG